AUCCCCUGUAUGUCUCUGCCUUGUCUUGGGGUGACGCAGGUGCCCAGAGCAGCAGCCAGUGAGCAAGGGGCAGAUUUGCAUGAAGGGGCCGUUCUCCAGCCCUGGGGGUUUAAGAGAGAAUCAGAGGGUCCCGGCCAUAGACCCGUUUGCCUCAGGAAGCCGAGCUCGUCUGGAUUCCCACCAUGGCCUGGGCCCCUCUGCUCCUCGCGCUGCUCACUUACUGCUCAGGUACCAGCUCCCAGUACGUGGUGACUCAGGAGCCCUCCUUGUUGGUGUCCCCUGAAGGGACUGUCAAACUCUCCUGUCGCUUGAGCAUCGUAUCUGACAUCAGCAGUGUCUACCCGUACUGGAUCCAGCAGCGGAGGGGCGGGGUGCCUCGCCUCCUCAUCUACAACGCUUACAUGAAAGUGUCAGGGACCCCCGAGCGGUUCUCUGGGUCCAGCUCCGGUAACACGGCCUAUUUAACCAUCAGCGGGGCCCUGGCGGAGGACGACGCUGAUUAUUACUGCUUCACUCACUACUAUCAAGGAGGGGAUUUUAAGGCUACACAGUGAGACACUCAGAUGAGGAACUGAGACCCAAACCUGCCUCCCCUCUGCUCUGCUCUGCUCUGCAGUCUGUGCCCUGCUGGGACCUGCCCAGGCUGCAGGUUGGCCUCAGACUUCCCCCUGCAGCCUGACUAAUCCUCAGUGGGGUUUGUGCCCCUCACUCCCUGCAAGGGGCCAUGUG